GCCAGGCAUGGUGGCGGGCACCUGUAGUCCCAGCGACUCAGGAGGCUGAGGCAGAGUUUUCAGUGAGCCGAGAUCGCGCCACUGCACUCCAACCUGGGCGACAGAGCAAGACUCCAUCUAAAAAAAAAAAAAAAAANNNNNNNNNNUUUUUUUUUUUUUUUUUAGAUGGAGUCUUGCUCUGUCGCCCAGGUUGGAGUGCAGUGGCGCGAUCUCGGCUCACUGAAAACUCUGCCUCAG
rnacentral:SRP_RNA from 1 species